CUGGAGGGUGACACAGAGAAGCAGCUGUCAUUUCCCUGAAGAGUUUUCUUCUGUAUCCAGCCCAUUAUUCCCCUUGAACUCAAAUCAGAGGAGCCAAACAGCCACAGCUGCUCUGAAUCAGCCCAAUCAGGGGUAUAUUAACCCCAGCCUUUGCUAAGAGGCUUCAUUUUGUCUUUGGGAUCCACUGGGGUAAGUGCUCUCCUCUCAUUUUUGUGAAGAGGCUCUUUCAGCUUAUCUCUGUUUGUUCUCUGCAGGUGUUUUGGGCUUCUAAUGCAACAGAGGCUUUGAAGAUACUGUGAGGAAAACAACACUGAACACAGGAGGAGUGCAACUUCCUGUAAUUCCAGGUUGUGUCGAGUACAGCAUUUUUUCAGCAGAGUGAUCAUGUUCCAAAAGAGAUCUGCCCUGUGUCAAAGAUGAUGUCUGAGAUUGAGGCUUCAGGUGAGUUGAGGAUUGGGACUAGGAGUGGGAGAGUGAGCAGGGUACCAAGUUAAGAGUUAUCAUGGUGGGGUUUUGCAGGCAGUAGGGUGAGAAAUGGUGUCUAUUUGCAAGGCUUUUCACAAGUAUAGCAGAGGCAUCCGUGUGUCAUACAGCACACAAGCUCAUCCACUGAACUCACAGAAAUGCCAUGUAACUUUGCCUCUCUAAACCAGGUGCUACUCAUAAUAACAGCCAAACCUUAGACUAGGGAUGGAACUGGAGACUUGAGCACCCAAGCACACUCAGGAGAGGAUAAGUAUCUGACUUGCUGGGAUUUGGCCCACAUAACACUAAACUCAACCAUUGAUUUUCCUGUUCUUUAUUCUAGCUGAAUAAGAGGCCAACAGGAGAUCCCCUCCGAGGCAGACUCAUUUCAGGUCCAACGUGGAUUCGCAUUUCCAGUCAUCCAAAAGAUAAGUUGGGUCCAUGGCCUGGGGAUGGGAGUAGUGGCCCCCUUCGGCAGCCGAUGGGGAUUUGAAUCCCCAGAUAUGUGCAAGAUAAAUCAAGAGCUACAACCCACAGAGGGGAUGGAAGCGAAGUGCCAGGUUGGGACUCCCCAGGAGGGGUUUUUGAGUCAGUUUUAGAGAUGAGGAUGUCCAAGAAGUGUCUCCUUAGGCCAGCUAAAGGAAAAGUGUCUGUUUUGAUCACAGUGCCGGGGUGCGCAGGGCAGAGCAGUUCCGGUGUGUGUCCUGUCACUUGUCUCUGGUGCACUCUGUGUUCUUUGGGUCUCCCAGUCCUUUCUUCUUGUGGAAAGCUCUCUCUCCCUGUCUUGUCCCCUCGUUUCUCACGUCCUGUGUCACGGGUGUCUGCACAUAUUUGUCCCGGAGCUGCUCUGCCCUGCUGCAUAGCCUGUAAUAGCACAAGUCCUGGGGACUUGAAAUUAGUAAUGCAGGGUGCAGCUGGGCUCCAGAUUUUAUUAGGAGAUUGACAUAACAUGUUUGGUACUGUUAAGUUGUCCUGUAGAGGUUUGACAUUAGUCCUAACUUCCUUUCAGAUGCAGACAGUUCAAAUCAGUGCCAGAGGGCCACAGUUCUGGGUGCAGAACUUCCCAUGAGCUGGUCAGUCAUUGUUUGCAUUUACAGGGGAAGCAUAAAUGGUGAAUCUGUUACAGUGGUGUUCUUUGCCUUUAUUUUUAGGAGGUCCAGGCAGAUAGCAGCAGUCAAAGCCCAGUGUGCCAGGUGAGCAGUGGACAGAAGCAGUUGUUCUUGCUAAGGUUUCAGUUUUUGGUGCAACUGUAAUCAUCCAUUCUUGUUUUUGUGCUUUAGGGAAUCCACUGGGAGUAUGCUAAGCCCCUGUCAGCAGCUGGCUGAUGGACUGGGUUUGCUGCACUUAUGAGCCCUCUGGAAGUAUUACAGGAUCCUGUGAUGAAGCCUACUGAUUUUGCAUUUCAAGGUCCCAUCCUGGUAGCCCAGAGCAGUGGCCAAGGAGUUGUGGUGAGUCGGGGAGGUAGGGAGGAGGAGUGAGAGUCCUCUCGAGUUUCAGCAAUGCCAUGUCACCCUUUCUCCACUUAAUCUAGGUGUACCCUGAGAUGAUGCUGUCGGCCUCCAAGCACGCCUGCGGUGUGUGGCCCGACCAUUCUGAGGAGAAUGACCAAGAGAGAACAGUCUGGUGACAACUGGAGUUUCCCAGACAGGCAGAGGGCCUCGUUCUGCACCCGAUGGAGAUUUGGAUCCCCAGAUAUAUGCCAGAUAAGUCAAGGGCUACAACCCACAGAGGGCAUGGAAGCGAGGUGCCAGGUUGGGAGUCCCCAG